rnacentral:rRNA from 1 species
UAGGGAAUCUUCCGCAAUGGACGAAAGUCUGACGGAACAACGCCGCGUGAGUGAAGAAGGAUUUCGGUUCGUAAAACUCUGUUGUUAGGGAAGAAAAAAUGUAUAGUAACUAUAUACAAAAGAGACGGUACCUAACCAGAAAGCCACGGCUAACUACGUGCCAGCAGCCGCGGUAAUACGUAGGUGGCAAGCGUUGUCCGGAAUUAUUGGGCGUAAAGCGCGCGCAGGUGGUUUAGAAAGUCUGAUGUGAAAGCCCACGGCUCAACCGUGGAGGGUCAUUGGAAACUAAUAAACUUGAGUGCAGGAGAGAAAAGUGGAAUUCCUAGUGUAGCGGUGAAAUGCGUAGAGAUUAGGAGGAACACCGGUGGCGAAAGCGGCUUUUUGGCCUGCAACUGACACUGAGGCGCGAAAGCGUGGGGAGCAAACAGG